rnacentral:rRNA from 1 species
AUUUAGCGCUGGCGGCAUGCUUAACACAUGCAAGUCGAACGGCAGCAUGGUCUAGCUUGCUAGACUGAUGGCGAGUGGCGAACGGGUGAGUAACGCGUAGGAAUAUACCUUUAAGUGGGGGACAACUUGGGGAAACUCAAGCUAAUACCGCAUAAUUUCUUAGGAAAAAAGCUGGGGACCUUCGGGCCUGGCGCUUGAAGAUUAGCCUGCGUCCGAUUAGCCAGUUGGUAGGGUAAAGGCCUACCAAGGCGACGAUCGGUAGCUGGUCUGAGAGGAUGACCAGCCACACUGGGACUGUGACACGGUCCAGACUCCUACGGGAGGCAGCAGUUGGGAAUAUUGGACAAUGGGGGCAACCCUGAUCCAGCAAUGCCGCGUGUGUGAAGAUGGCCUGAGGGUUGUAAAGCACUUUCAGUGGGGAGGAGGAUUCAUAGGUUAAGAGCUAGUGAAUUGGACGUUACCCACAGAAGAAGCACCGGCUAACUCCGUGCCAGCCGCCGCGGUAA